rnacentral:rRNA from 1 species
UACGUAGGGGCAAGCGUUGUCCGGAAUCAUUGGGCGUAAAGAGCGUGUAGGCGGCUCGAUAAGUCUGCUGUGAAAGUCCAGGGCUCAACCCUGGAAGGCCGGUGGAAACUGUCGGGCUAGAGUCCGGAAGAGGCAGAGUGGAAUUCCCGGUGUAGCGGUGAAAUGCGCAGAUAUCGGGAGGAACACCAAUGGCGAAGGCAGCUCGCUGGGACGGUACUGACGCUGAGACGCGAAAGCGUGGGGAGCAACAGG